CCUACGGGAGGCAGCAGUGGGGAAUUUUGGACAAUGGGCGCAAGCCUGAUCCAGCUAUUCCGCGUGCGGGAUGAAGGCCCUCGGGUUGUUAACCACUUUUGUAGAGAACGUAAAGACACCUUCGAAUAACGGGUGUUGAUGACGGUACUCUAAGAAUAAGCACCGGCUAACUACGUGCCAGCAGCCGCGGUAAUACGUAGGGUGCGAGCGUUAAUCGGAAUUACUGGGCGUAAAGGGUGCGCAGGCGGUUGAGUAAGACAGAUGUGAAAUCCCCGUGCUUAACUCGGGAAUGGCAUAUGUGACUGGUGGACUAGAGUGUAUGAGAGGGAGGUGGAAU
rnacentral:rRNA from 1 species